GAUGAACGCUGGCGGCGUGCCUAAUACAUGCAAGUCGAGCGAACAGACGAGGAGCUUGCUUUUCUGACGUUAGCGGCGGACGGGUGAGUAACACGUGGAUAACCUACCUAUAAGACUGGGAUAACUUCGGGAAACCGGAGCUAAUACCGGAUAAUAUUUUGAACCGCAUGGUUCAAUAGUGAAAGACGGUUUUGCUGUCACUUAUAGAUGGAUCCGCGCUGCAUUAGCUAGUUGGUAAGGUAACGGCCUACCAAGGCAACGAUGCGUAGCCGACCUGAGAGGGGGAUAGGCCACACGAGAACUGGGACAGGGUCCAGACGCCUAAGGUAGGCAGCAGUAGGGAAUCUUCCGCAGUGGGCGAAAGCCUGACGGAGCAACGCCGCGUGAGUGAUGAAGGUCUUCGGAUCGUAAAACUCUGUUAUUAGGGAAGAACAGAUGUGUAAGGAACUGUGCACUUCUUGACGGUACCUAAUCAGAAAGCCACGGCUAACUACGUG
rnacentral:rRNA from 1 species